rnacentral:lncRNA from 10 species
AUUUGCUGAUUUCCCUGAUGCAAACUCUCGCAUGGUGGCUGAUUUCAAGGACUAGCGAGACCUCAUUGCUGAAGAGCUGGGAAAAGCUGCCCCCGUCAGCUCUCCACAGCCAGUACAAGCUGGCUCCCGCCUACGCAGGAGACCCACGGAUUAUGCCCAUCUUUGGGAAAUGGCUCAGUUCAUUGCUCAGAGAUAAGGAACUGCUCAAAAGAGAGAGAAUGCUGAUAGGAACAGGCCAGAUGUGGGGACGCAAAGACAUAUAAUGUACCAGACAAUGCCAGGAGGGUGGAUAUGAAGCAAAGAAAAGACAUCUUCUCAAAAUAAAUAAAUAAAAAGACAUCUUCUCUCCCUUUUACAAAGACACAAAAUCCCAGAGUCUUGAAUGCUGUGUCCCAGAAGGGUCCAUUUUCAAUGGCACAAUAAUACAUGGAAGAGGCUUAAAACUGUGCCUAACAUUUCGUGCUCUAUACGUUGUCUUAGUUGUUGUUAAAACUCAACUUUCUGGGAUGCCUCAACUGGCCACGUAUCUUGAUAAAUUCAUUAUUUUCUUCAAUUAUGCUGUAAGAAGAAUACUUGUAUCUUCUUCAGCCUCCAACAGACAUUCCUUCACCAUCUACGGAAAGACCCUGAAUAUUUUCACUGGAAAAGGGCCAGUAGUGAAAUUGGCAAACACUCCUUCAACCAGGACAAUGCUUCUGGGGAAAUGACAUUUAUUGAGCACCUACUACAUGCCAGGCAACUACAAAAGAUCUCAUUUCACCCUCACAGCAACUCUGUAAAGGAGGCGCUAUUGCUGUCCUUUUAUAAAUAAGGAAACUGGGGCUCUGAGAUGUUAAGGGAGUUGUCUAGGACUAUAUGGUGAGAUAGUAA